AGAUGCGAUCAUACCAGCACUAAUGCACCGGAUCCCAUCAGAACUCCGCAGUUAAGCAUGCUUGGGCGAGAGUUGUAUUAGGAUAGGUGACCUCCAGGAAAGUCCUUAUGUUGCAUCCC
rnacentral:rRNA from 1 species